rnacentral:lncRNA from 1 species
GUGGGGAUUUCAUGAGCCGCUCUCCAUCGGUACUUUCCAAGGGGAUGCCUUUGAACAGGAUCACCAUGACUAGAUCCAGACGCCAGACUUUGUCUGCCUGUCGCAGGCAGUCGAUUCUCCUAAUCUUACCCUUCUGGUCGGGAUUGGAUAAGACACAGCACGGGUGCUUCUUGCCAGUCACGGUGAGCACAAAGUCCUCUCGAUACUCCUGGCGAAUAUCUUUGCGCAGUUUGGCAAGGAGCCUGGAUGCCCACUUCUGUUAAAAAAAAAAAAAAAAUCUUAAAAAAGAGAAAUAAAUUUGAACAAAACUAAACUACAAGCCCGCAGUUCCCCGCCGAAAGCGAGGUGGGGGAGGAGGGGGCGGGAACGGUCGAGGCACUGAGAGUGGGGGAUGAGAAACGAACUCCGUCCCCUGCACAGUCAGUGCCUUCGGGGGCUCCACCACCGCGCGCUCCCACCCUCAAGGUUUGGACUCCUAGGGGAGGGAGAGGACGGGAGGGAGAGGAGGAUAGGUGGAGGGGGAAGAGGGACUCCUUUUCUCCUCCUGCCAGCGCCAGCUGGGGCAAACUUGAGCUGGCAAAGCGCGAGAAAACUUUUCUUUGGAAAGUUUAGGUAGCGCAGUUAGUGGCGGAGGCUCAGGGCAAGCUAACAGUGCUGGGGCGGGUGUGGAGGGAGUGAGCUGGGUGCGAUUGGGAGAGGGGAGAAGGGAGAAGGGAAGGAGUGGCCAGCUCCCUAGGCGGUUGAAGAUCCAAGUCUCUUCGGUCAGGUCCGCCCAAGGUCCCAGAGGCACUGGGGGGUCGGGUGACUGUGCGGAGUGUAAAAGACAUUUCCUUAGGAAACAGACAAGGCAGGGCCAGGAGUUCCGCGGUUUUUUUUCCGUGCAGAAAUCACUACCCGGCGACGGCUCAGGGCGGUAGAGGGCAAGUCUUAUCUGCCAAGGCGGGAUUAGAUUCUCUCGCCGAGG